GUCUGUACAUGGAGAGCUUUAGGGGCCGGGGGGUGUUAAAUUUCUGUUUCAUGAUGUAUGAAAAUGAGGUUGCUGGGUAUCCACACAGAAAAACGAUUUAGCAAAUGCACGACAAUAUCAAAUAUGGAUCGUGCUUGUGGCCAAAAAUCUAAGCAUUUAUCGUCCUCAGUCUUCUGUUGAAAUAAUGAUUCUUUAUUCUCCACUCUUCUUGACUACUAACACUUGAAAUCAUGGUGACCUUGAACAUUUAAGCAAUGAUACAUUUGCUCUUGCUGCAAUCAGUCAGCAACACUUGAAAUCGUGGUGAUCCUGGAAUCAGCUCCACC
rnacentral:misc_RNA from 1 species